AUCGCCCGUGUCAUGGCAGAUGUUUGUCAAAACCAUGUUUAACUCCUUGAAUCAUUCCCCCAAGAGGUGAACUAUCCAGUUCUUAUCAAAAUACAUGCUACGUCACUAAUUUUGCCUAUUGUUCUCUCUCACUUUUUCUUUAAUGACACUGCACUUUGAUAACAAGAAGUUCACCUCGAUGAUCAGCAAGGAAAUGAAGAGAUUGAUAUGCAAGUUCAAGCUGGGGACCACUAGUACUAGCUGCAGAUGGACUUAAUGGCGAUGUUGUGACACAGGAAGAUCAAAGCAAAGCGGAGAUUCAAGGAAAGAACGAAGAUACAUCAGUUUAGGUUAGCUUCUCUGUCGCUUAAUUCUUAAGGCCCGUUAGGUGUUGUAAUUCAGGGGUUUCAUUAAUUCUGAAAGUAGAAAGGCAUUUGAGGGAAAGUAGGUACGCAUCUCAAAGGGCAAGGACCGGAGGCCCGAGCUCCUAGGGGGUAUGGAGGCAUUCUCAUUGCUUAUAGCUAGUAGUUUCCAUUGGAAAGUGAAGUGCUGCGAGUGAAGUUUAUGUGGAAGAUGUUUUUAUGUCAUUUAGGAAGUAUUGUAGGGGAAUGAAUCAACAUGAGCUACUAGAUUAGAGUGUUUUGCCAAAGGCUAAUUUAAGGGACAGCUUGCAAAUGGCAGAUUUGUUGCAACUUUACCGCCAAGAGAACAGCUUAAAAUGCAGGCUUCGUAAUAAGUUAUUAAUAGAUGAUAUUCAAAUAACGAUUACUGAGGGACGAGGGUGCGUAGCGGAGGGAACAGUUAAAAAAAGAAGCCAACGCAAAAAAAGCGGUGUUCUUGGGAGGGGGAAUGUACUGUUAGAAACUGUUUGACCUGGUUCAACCAUGAACACUUGACUGUCGACAUGGACUUUGUGAAACGAUAUUUAUCGUUGCUCUCCUGUUUGGCGAGGAAUGGUCACUUUCUAUCCUCUGCUCAUUAUGAAACGUUUGCCGAGUUAACUUAAUCAUGUAAAACUGUUGUAAAGAUUAGGGUGCAAUGGGAAGAAAAGUUUGCAUUGACUAUUACGAGCAGAAUUUUCAACUAAACCUUGGGAAAAUCUUGGACCAUUUGCGAAAGACCAUAAAACCUUUUCUAUCCGAAACACCAUUUCAAAGAAAUAGGCUAAGUUUGCUUGCCUAAAAGUUUAUUGACCAUUAAGUGUCACUCGAAAGUCUGAGAUUCUUUAGCAAUGUUUGGUGUUUGGGAAAAGCAUACAAACAAGCUCAUCUUUUAAACUAUUUUUCACGACUUUGAAUUCCCAAGCAUGUUCUGCCUUAAUCUCCACAAAAGCUCUGCUACAGAUAUUGUAGUAAAAAUGCUUUUUGAUAACUUCUAGUAUCAUAAAUGGUAUUGUGCAUUUACUAUUAAACGCUGAUGAACGUG